rnacentral:rRNA from 1 species
UUGCGCGACCAUCUUNCCCCGAGAUAUGGUGAAAUCUCAGUCUUGCGGGAGGUCCAAAGCUUGCGUAAAGAUGAAUCUGCGAAGUUAUGGGCAUAGACCCGGAUUUGGUACCCGGUUAUUCCAUAAUGUCAAGUAUAGCUAUUUUAUUUGAAUUAAUAGUUUGCUAGGGGUACUACGAGCAACUGCUUAAAACUCGAAGAACUUGGCGGUUCCGCAUAACCAUCCAGAGGCUCUUGGCGCUUAAUCUGAUGAUCCGCGUGAUAUCUUACCUGCCCUAUAGAAAGCAGUGUACUGCCGUCGAAAGCUUAUGAUGUGAGUAAAUAAAAAUAGGCCCAAUCUUGGGGUUUUAAGUAAUUAAUAAUCAUGCCGAGGCUAGGUCAGGUCGAAGUGCUCCUUAUGGGCAAGGGGUUAGCUGAGAGACAAAUAUUUAGACAUAUAAAGAUUUUAGGGAUGAAAUUCUCUUAGUGUAUAUAAGGAUUUGGGAGUAAAAAGAGAGUAACUCGUUUUUUUGAAAAGACGCAACUGCGGUGCGUUCAAAUCGCCCGUCACCCUAGCCGAAAGGAGAGGUAAGUCGUAACAUGGUAAGGGUAGGGGAACUUGCUCUUUUAAUGAUAGGGGAGAAGUAAAGUAAGUGAAGUGAAACUAGGUUCCAAGUUAAAUACUUUCACCUA